UGCGGCGUAGCUCAACUGGAUAGAGCGCCUGCUUUCUACCGAUUCUCAUCCUCGACAAGGGAGAAUUUAGGGGCAGGAGAAUGUGGGUUCAAGUCCCGCCGCCGCGC
rnacentral:tRNA from 1 species